GAGUGUUACAGUUCUUUUAGAAUUUGUCUAGCAGGUUUUCUAGUUGCUAGGGAAAGCCCCC
rnacentral:snRNA from 1 species